AAAAUUUGAAUUGGGAUUCCAUUCCUACAUAUGGUUGCUUGUGAUGCCCCAUGAAAUCAGAGUUCUGCGGACCCACAAAGCAUGGGAGUUCAGCAAGACUGAGGUACAAGGAGUCUUUGUGUUUGAACCAAAAUCCAACUGUAAUCCACAGACAUCAAGCUCUCAUGUCAACAGGACAGAAUACUAUAAGUAGAAGUUUUUCAGGUACCUUGCAAUCAUGCUUCAAGGGCAGAAGUUACUGCAGCCACUUGCACAAUGGUGUCAGACUGCAUUCUGGGGAGAGUAAGAGCUGGCAGAGUGGUGAAAACAGUGGCUCAAAAACUUGAGCAUGUGACAGAAUCGCCUGGGCAAUAGAUGGUUGACUCACAGAUUGCUGGGCUCUACCCUCAGAUUUUCUGACUCAGUAGGUCCAAGGAGAGGCCUGGGCAUGUGAAUCUCUAAUACAUGCUCAGGCAGUGCUGACUAGUAUUGAUGAUCUGAUGCUACUGGUCUGGGGCUCACACUUUGAGAACCACUGGGUUAAAAGAAUCAUACGUAGUUACUGAGAACUUAUUCUACACCAAGAUCUGUCUUCAACUCUUUUCAAAUAUGACAUCAUUUAACUACUAAAUGAUGGACCCCACAACAACUAAAUGAGGACCCUGGAGGAACCAAGAGGCUAAAAAGCAUCUUCAAGUCAUGCCCCUCGUACCUGGUGGAAUCAGGAUUGGAGUCCGGAGUGCUGGCUCCAGAGCCUGUACUUCCCACAUGGGAUGCAUGCUACAUCGUGUCCCAAAGGUCCAGGCUGUAGGAGAUGGAGACACUUGGGUUCCAGCUUUGCUUUCAGCUGUGGGAUCCUGGGAAAGUCGCUUGGCUUCUCUGUGCCUCGAUUUCCUCAUCUGCAGAAGGGGGAUCCUAACAGCCACCACCUCAUAGUGUUGUCACAGUGACUUCAUGAGCGAAUGAAGCAGAGGCAGAUUACCUGAACAGGGGACAGUUCCUGGGCUUGCU
rnacentral:lncRNA from 1 species